rnacentral:rRNA from 1 species
UUUAGCGCUUCGGCUCGAUCUCCCACCCUUUGUGACGUACCUCUGUUGCUUUGGCGGCUCCGGCCGCCAAAGGACCUCCAAACUCCAGUCAGUAAACGCAGACGUCUGAUAAACAAGUUAAUAAACUAAAACUUUCAACAACGGAUCUCUUGGUUCUGGCAUCGAUGAAGAACGCAGCGAAAUGCGAUAAGUAAUGUGAAUUGCAGAAUUCAGUGAAUCAUCGAAUCUUUGAACGCACAUUGCGCCCCUUGGUAUUCCGGGGGGCAUGCCUGUUCGAGCGUCAUUACAACCCUCAAGCUCUGCUUGGAAUUGGGCACCGUCCUCACUGCGGACGCGCCUCAUAGACCUCGGCGGUGGCUGUUCAGCCCUCAAGCGUAGUAGAAUACACCUCGCUUUGGAGUGGUUGGCGUCGCCCGCCGGACGAACCUUCUGAACUUUUCUCAAGGUUGACCUCGGAUCAGGUAGGGAUACCCGCUGAACUUAAGCAUAUC